rnacentral:rRNA from 2 species
AGACCCGAAACCCGGUGAUCUAGCCAUGGGCAGGUUGAAGGUUGGGUAACACUAACUGGAGGACCGAACCGACUAAUGUUGAAAAAUUAGCGGAUGACCUGUGGCUGGGGGUGAAAGGCCAAUCAAACCGGGAGAUAGCUGGUUCUCCCCGAAAGCUAUUUAGGUAGCGCCUCGUGAAUUCAUCUCCGGGGGUAGAGCACUGUUUCGGCUAGGGGGCCAUCCCGGCUUACCAACCCGAUGCAAACUGCGAAUACCGGAGAAUGUUAUCACGGGAGACACACGGCGGGUGCUAACGUCCGUCGUGAAGAGGGAAACAACCCAGACCGCCAGCUAAGGUCCCAAAGUCAUGGUUAAGUGGGAAACGAUGUGGGAAGGCCCAGACAGCCAGGAUGUUGGCUUAGAAGCAGCCAUCAUUUAAAGAAAGCGUAAUAGCUCACUGGUCGAGUCGGCCUGCGCGGAAGAUGUAACGGGGCUAAACCAUGCACCGAAGCUGCGGCAGCGAACGUAUCACCCAAGACAACUUUACGGAGUUGACGAUUGACGGAGCGAAGCGACGUCAAAGCGUUCAUUAAAGUCGAGUUGGCUUAGGGAUACGUUCGUUGGGUAGGGGAGCGU